rnacentral:rRNA from 1 species
AUUGAACGCUGGCGGCAGGCCUAACACAUGCAAGUCGAACGGUCCACUUCGGUGGAUAGUGGCGCACGGGUGCGUAACACGUAUGCAACCUACCUUACAUUGGGGGAUAGCCUUUCGAAAGGGAGAUUAAUACCGCAUAAGACAGUAACAUGGCAUCAUGUAGCUGUUAAAGAUUUAUCGAUGUAAGCUGGGCAUGCGUCCAAUUAGUUAGUUGGUGAGGUAAUGGCUCACCAAGACGAUGAUUGGUAGGGGAACUGAAAGGUCAAUCCCCCACACUGGCAAUGAGAUACGGGCCAGACUCCUACGGGAGGCAGCAGUAGGGAAUAUUGGGCAAUGGACGCAAGUCUGACCCAGCCAUGCCGCGUGCAGGAAGAAGGCGUCCUGCGUUGUAAACUGCUUUUAUAUAGGAAGAAACGACCCUUGCGAGGGGCAUUGACGGUAUUAUAUGAAUAAGCACCGGCUAACUCCGUGCCAGCAGCCGCCGUAACAC